rnacentral:rRNA from 1 species
CCCUAGCACAGGUGCUGCAUGGCCGUCGUCAGCUCGUGCCGUGAGGUGUUGGGUUAAGUCCCGCAACGAGCGCAACCCCCGCCGUUAGUUGCCAGCGGUUCGGCCGGGCACUCUAACGGGACUGCCCGCGAAAGCGGGAGGAAGGAGGGGACGACGUCUGGUCAGCAUGGCCCUUACGGCCUGGGCGACACACGUGCUACAAUGCCCACUACAAAGCGAUGCCACCCGGCAACGGGGAGCUAAUCGCAAAAAGGUGGGCCCAGUUCGGAUUGGGGUCUGCAACCCGACCCCAUGAAGCCGGAAUCGCUAGUAAUCGCGGAUCAGCCAUGCCGCGGUGAAUACGUUCCCGGGCCUU